rnacentral:tRNA from 1 species
GGGGUUAUAACUCAGUUUGGUAGAGUAUCUCAAUGGCAUUGAGAAAGUCAGCGGUUCGAACCCGCUUAGCUCCA